UUGGUGCCUUCGGGAACUCUGAGACAGGUGCUGCAUGGCUGUCGUCAGCUCGUGUUGUGAAAUGUUGGGUUAAGUCCCGCAACGAGCGCAACCCUUAUCCUUUGUUGCCAGCGGUCCGGCCGGGAACUCAAAGGAGACUGCCAGUGAUAAACUGGAGGAAGGUGGGGAUGACGUCAAGUCAUCAUGGCCCUUACGAGUAGGGCUACACACGUGCUACAAUGGCGCAUACAA
rnacentral:rRNA from 1 species